GCCCAAUCAGUGGGCUUCUCCGGUGACAAGAAUUCUGUGCCAUGGUGAUCCUCUGAAAUAAACAGAGAAAAAGAAAGAAGCCAGAAGAAGAAAUAAAGAGGGAGAGAGAGGGAGAAAUUAAGAAGGGAGGAGGAAAAAUAAGAUGGGAAGAGAGAGGGAAGCAGAGAGAGAGGGGGAGAGGGGGAAAAACAAGAAGGGAGGGGCAGAGAGUAAGAAAGAAGGGCAGCAUCGGUGGUAGUAACCGGAGGAGCCCAACAGUGCAGCCACCGCCACUGGAGAUGAGGUGGAGGACAAGAAGGAGCAGGAGAGUGGCAAAGGAGGGAGGCCCAAGGAGGAGGUGGCACAGGGAAGGAAAGUUGUGCUGUUGAUGCCACCGCACUGGAGUGGGGGAAGUCUCGGGUGAGGGAGCUGUGACGUGAGUGAGGAGAGCAGUGUGCAUGGGCGGGGCUACUAAGGCCAGUGGACUUCUUCCUGUGCCAUUCGAGCAGCCAUAGCAGCAGCAGCGAUGAAGGGCCUGGUCAACUGCUGCCGCUGCCACUCCUGCUUAGGUCUACCGAGCCCAUUGGUGGAGGCAGGUGAAAGAUGGCCCAGGCUAGGGCAUGUCAGUGGCCUGAGCAAAGUGAGCAGCCAUGGCAGCAGCAGCGGCAGCAAGGAAGGGCCCAGUAAACCGCUACUGCUGCCACUCGUGCUCGGGGCUACCAAGAAGGAAGCUGGCAGGCCAGGGAUGGGCCCGGGCCUGUCAGCAGCCUGAGGGAAGCGAGUGGCCAUGGCAGCAGCAGUUAGGAAGGGCCCAGCCAGGCCUGUUAGUGGUCUGAGAGGAGUGAGUGACCAUGACGGUGGCAGCAAGGAAGAGCCCAGUCAGCCACUCUUGCUCAGGGCUACUGAGCCCAUUGUCAGAGGGAGACAGGAAAGUGAGGGAUGCCAUCAGCAGCCUGAGGGGAGCAAGAGGCCAUGGUGGUGGCAGCAAGAAAGGCUUGGUCAACUGCUGUCACUCCUGCUCAGGGCUAUCGAGCCCAUUGGCAAAGUCAGGCAGGCAGGCAGGCGAGGGACCUGGGCCUGUUAGUGGCCUGAGCGAAGCAAGUGGCCAUGACGGUGGUGGCAGCGAGAAAGGGCCUGGUCAACUGCUGCUGCCACUGCUGCUGCUGCAGGGAGGAGCAGGAGCAAGACUUGGCUUCUCUACAUAAGGAUGUUUGAGAACCUGGAACAGGAGGAACAGCACUGUGACAUAAAGCAGCAGCAGCUCUGCUCUUCAGCACCCCACUUUUAUACUUCUCCCCAAUACUGGCAUAUAUUGUGGAGUAUAUACGAUGACACAAUGGUAAAAUGUCAUCCUCCACUUCCAAAAUUGAUUUUAAGCUCCUCCAUCGUGUUUUAAGUCUUCCAAAGGGUUUCUCCACACACAUCUGUAUGGAGCCAAGUCUUUUCUUGUAAUGUUUCUCUUCAGAGUUUUGGGUGCAUUAAUGGAUGCAUGAGCCAGGUUUUCAGGGAACAGGUAGCAUCUGCAAUAAUUACAGGUUUCAUAGGAACCCACUCAAUUAAGAAGGAUAUUGUGCUGGAUUAGGGCCAGUUGCUCUCCCCCUGCUAAAUUUAAGAGAAUCACCACUUUAAAAAGGUGUCUCUUUGCUUAGUUAGCCGAAGAAUGAUUGAUUGAUUGAUUGAUUGAUUGAUUGAUUGAUUAAGUGCCAUUAAAUUGAUGUUGACUCUUAGCGACUACAUAGAUAGAUUCUCUCCAGAAUGAUCUGUCUUCAACUUGGCUUUUAAGGUCUUUCAGUGGUGUUGUUGCAUCGUUGAUUACAUCGUUGUUGUAAUCGAGUCUAUCCACCUUGCUGCUGGUCGUCCUCUUCUUUUUCCCCAGUAUUAUGGACUUCUCAAAGGAGCUGGGUCUUCGUAUAAUGUGUCCAAAGUAUGAUAGUCUGAACCUAGUCAUUUGUGCCUCGAGUGAAAAUUCUGUAUUGAUUUGUUCUGUGCUCCAUUUGUUUGUUUUCCUGGCUGUCCAUGGUAUCCUCAAAAGUCUUCUCCAACACCAAAGUUCAAAAGUGUCAAUGCUUUUUCUAUCUUGCUUCUUCAAAGUCCAGCUUUGGCAUCCAUAGAGUGUCAUGGGAAAAGCCAUUGUCCGAACGAUUCUAAUCUUUGUAGGUAUAGACACGUCACAGCAUCUAAAUAUCUUUUCCAAGGCCUUCAUUGCAACCCUACAAUUUCUUGACUGCUGGAUCCUUUACUGUUGAAGAACGUAACUUAGGAGUUUUCCGGACUAUGAGAUUUUCAACAGUUAAUGCAUUGCAAAGUGUGAUAGAAUAGUGCAAUGGUUUCAAAACCAGAGUAACAGGUUGUUAAAUGCUUCAUUGUAAGCUGGGGGCCAUUCAUAUUUUCCAUCCGCUGCAACGUAUUUUCCAGGCAGGAGUGUCCAUAUUCGCCUUGAAACGCAUUUAUCUGCCCCUCCUCCUGCUCCAUUUGGGCCAAUGGAGUCAUGGAGUGUGUGUGACGUGACAAAUAUAUAUAUGAAAAAUAUUUCUCAGCCGCCUUGUGCUAAUCUGCCAGCAGGGGAAAGCAUCAUUCCAAAACAAAACAAAACCUAUCGCCGUUGCAUCCUUGCACAAGUGAUUCCAGGAAUAAUUUUUGUUUUAAUUUAAAUUAAAUAAUUAAUUUAAAAUGAAAUAAUUUAUUUUAAUUUUAAUUAAAAAUGUCCCUAAUAUAUCUAAAAAGUCAUAUUUUCACAGAAGUCCUCUUUCUCCUCAAUAUUAUCGAUCCCUUCCUCCUUAGUAUCACACCCUUUUCAGCAGGCCUGUUGAAGAAGACACUGCCCACCACUGGUGUUGACAUUCCAUCUCUUUCCCACCUACACACCAUUUUAGAGGGUCUCGUUCCCCCCCAAAGCCAGGAGGCUCAUGUGGAAUAAAAGACAGUCUGUAGCACUGUAGUGAAAGGGAAUCCUGUGGUGAGCCUGGGAAUGGAGAAGAGAGGAACUGGUGCUCCGGAGUGGGCACUCUCUUCCAUGGUGGUGGCAGCCAGCGACUCCUCAGUUCCCCUGUCAGGGCUGCUGGGGGCAGCCAUAGCAGCAACAGCCUCUGCCACUACUCUUCAGUCAGCACCCCAGGCCUAGCAUCGCUAGGGCUGGGGAGCCUUGCAGCAGCAAUGGGGCUCCUUUCUCCUCUCUGCUGCUGCCCUCAUUGCUUCUCUCCUGCCAGGCCUUCUCCUGAGGAGGGAAGAUGUUGGCAGCAGCUGUGAUCCUCUGACCUUCUAGUUUGCAUUUUCCAACAGCCACACCAAGGGGAGGGGGCCAGGUUUUAAUCAGUGUGCCAAGCUUCACUGCGUGAUCGCCCACUCCCCCCUCAAUCUCUCUGGAAAAGCCCACCCACCCGCUGCUCCCCCUUCACACAAUAAAAUAAGAAGUAAGCAAAAAAUUAGAAAUAAUAAGAAAUAGAACGCAAUGGAGCAGAAAGGGGGUAUAAAAAUAAAUAAUGAUUCCGUUCACUGGGCAUCUUUGCUUGUAGUAAUCAACGGAAAAAAUCUGUAAACAAAUGCAGUAAGCAAAUGGGACUGAAGUAAAUGAUUCAGUUCAAUGGGCUUCCUCUUAAGAGACCAAAUUGUCACACUGUGAUUUCAACCAUUCAAACAACACUUCAUUGCAGCACACAAAUGAUGGGGCAAGCCUCCUACAACGGAAAAAUACAGAUAUUUUCCUGCAACUCAUUUAGAAUGAUGUAGGGCUAAAAUGCAUCAAUAAAUUUUGAAACAGAGCAUGGGAAACAGGAACACCCCCCUGCUGACAGCGCAAUGACUGUGAUGUCAAAACACAGGCAAUAGUGGACGAGUCCCUGCCAUCUCAUUGGAACAUAGGAAGCUGCCUUAUACCAAAUCAGAACAGUGCUCCGUCUAGCUCAGUUUUGUUUACACAGACUGACAGUGACUUCUCCAAGGUUGCAGGCAGGAGUUUCACUCAGACCAAAGGGACCAAAUAUGGACCACUGGUCUGACGGUAUAAGGCAUCUUCCUGCGUUCUUAAAAUAUAGUGAGCUCCUAUAGGUAUGUGUGUAUACACACAAAAACUAACUCUCUGUCUCCCAUUCAUAUAUAUACAGAGAGAGUAAAAGGGAUUGUAAUUUGCAAGCAUUCCUCCAGAUAUCAACCUCUUAUCUCUCUCUGGGCUUCUAAAGUGGUAAAGUGGCGAAGUGUGCUGUUGAGUUAGUGUCGGCUCCUGGUGACCACAGAGUUUAUCAUUGCCUCCUCCUGCACAGUAUGAGAUGAUGCCUUUCAGUAUCUUCCUAUAUUGCUGCUGCCCGGUAUAGGUGUUUCCCAUAGUCUUGGAAACGUACCAAUGGGGAUUCGAACCAGCAACAUCUGGCUUGCUAUUCAAGUCAUUUCCCCGCUGCACCAUUAGGUGGCUUCUGUGACUCCAGUCUUUCCCUAUCUUUAUGAGGUUUCAUUCCCUAUGCUUUCCAAUGGGAGUGUUUCCCUGCAUUUACUGGAAAGGUAACAUUUCUCAGGGUUUGGGAUUUGGCAGGGGGGGUGGAAUCUGGAUGAGAUGUGAAAUCUACCUGAAAAAACAGUAUAAGAAAGCUUUCUUUGAAACUUAUGUAUUUUGUUCUGCUCAAUUUAUUCCACUGUUGAUUUAACUGUGACCAUUCUUGUUACACUAAUUAUCUGUUGUUUACAUGUAUCAUUUUAACCUCUUCUAAUACUUCUUUUUCAUGUAAACACAAUGACUGGUGAAGUACAUUAAAAAAGAAGGACUGCAUGGAUGCAACUGGACUUCCCAGACAGCCCCCUGGUCCUAUGUGUGCACUGUUGCCCAAGCGGGCAAAAUCUUCCCACUCUGCCUGCGCUCCAGAAGUACUCUGGAAGAGAGGAAACAAACUGCUGAAGGUUGCAUGCAUCAAAAGCCAGACUAGUAGCCAAAGGAUACUCCCAAAUCAAUGGUCAGGACUAUGAUGAGACUUUUGCACCAGUUGUGAAACACAAGUCAAUUAGAACAUUGCUCAGUGUGGCGGCAGCCAAAGGGAUACAAGUUGAACACUUGAAUAUAAAGACUGCCUUCCUACAUGGGGAAAUCGAGGAAGACAUCUACAUGCAACAACCACCAGGCUUUGAGGAACCUGGAAAGAAGGGGCUAGUGUGAAAACUGCAAAAGAGCAUCUAUGGCUCAAAGCAGGCAGCCAGAGCAUGGAAUGAAAAACUGAAUCAAUUACUACUUAAGGAGGGGUUCACGCAAGGAAAAGCUGACCCCUGCCUAUAUUCUAGACUCAGAGACUAUAGAUGGACUUACAUUCUGACUUACGUUGAUGAUUUGAUUCUUGCACACAAGGAAAGGCAAGACAGUCAUUAAAUUGUACAACACCUGAACAAGGAAAUAGAGGUGAAGGAACUCGGAAGCAUCUCAGGAACACAGGAACACAGGAAGCUGCCAUAUACUGAGUCAGACCAUUGGUCUAUCUAGCUCAGUAUUGUCUUCACAGACUGGCAGUGGCUUCUCCAAGGUUGCAGGCAGGAAUCUCUCUCUCAGCCCUAUCUUGGAGACGCCAGGGAGGGAACUUGAAACUUUCUGCUCUUCCUAGAGUGGCUGCAUUCCCUGAGGUGAAUAUCUUACAGAGCUCACACUUCUAGUCUCCCUUUCAUAUGCAACCAGGGCUGACCCUGCUUAGCUAAGGGGACAAGUCAUGCUUGCUACCACAAGACCAGCUCUCCUCUCCAAAGUAGUACAGGAGUAUGCACAAAACCAGAUUUGCAGGUUCAGCUCCUAUCUGAACCUGAUCAAGCCGAAACAGCCUGGCUCGAUUUUGGUCAAGUCUCCUAUUCAUAUGCAACCAGGGCAGACUCUGCUUAUCUAUGGGGACAAGUCAUGCUUGCUACCACAAGACCAGCUCUCUUCUCCCUCAUAUUACCUUGGUAUCCAAAUAGAAAGAGAAGAGAACGGAACAUUCCUUCUCAACCAAAAGCAGAAGAUAAAAGAUCUUCUAGAAUCCCUGGGACUGACAGAUGCCAAUGAAGUCAGCACACCAAUGAAUGCUGAUUUCUGGAAGCAAGAUGAGGACAGCCAGCCUUUACCAGCUAACAAUCAAUAUAGAAAGGCAAUUGGAAAACUUUUGUACAUAGCCACAGUGACAAGGCCAGACAUUGCCUCAGCAGUGGGAAUCCUGAGCAGAAAAGUGAGUGUGCCAACGAACAAGGACUGGAUAGCGGUCAAAAGACUGGGAAGGUACCUGAAAGGUACUGCACAUUAUGUAUUGGAGAUUCCAGCAAACAGCAAUCCCAAACUCGUGGGAUUUGUGGAUGCAGACUGGAGCGAGGACAGAACAGACCGCAAGUCCACAAGUGGACACCUGUUCCUGUAUGGAGGUGGAGCCAUAACUUGGAGUAGCCACAAGCAGUCACUCGUUGCGCAAUCAUCCACAGAAGCGGAGUAUGUUUCAGCAAGUGAAGCGUGCAGGGAAGCAGUAUGGGGAUACACCAACUACUAUCGGACUUUGGCAUCGAAGAACCAAAGCCCACAGUAAUGUUUGAGGGCAACCAAAGUUGUAUCCAGAUUUCCCAAAUGGAGAAGAUGAAAUCUCGAACUAAGCAUAUUCCCAUAAAGUACCACUAUGUUCAGGACUUACAAGAAAAAGGAGUGGUCCAGCUGAGGUACUGCCCCACAGAAGAGAUGCUGGCAGAUGGAUUAACCAAGCCAUUAUCCAAAGACAGAUUCCAGAUGCUUCGUGAGAAGAUGGGAGUCGUGACCAGGUGCGACAGGCGAUGAGAAGGGGUGUUGGAGAUGAACUUCCAGUGCAUCGACCUUUUGCACCAACUGUCCUAAUGACCACUAGGGGCAUUGGGAGUAGAGACAGUGAGUCAGGGUCUCCCUAUCUGUCCCUACUCUAUGACCCCUGAACUGACUCUGCAGCACUUCCUGUGCUGAGUCACAAUCCUUCCUUUCCUCCUAGAGAGCAGAUGGAAACAUCUCUCUCUCUCCUUACCUAUCCACUAUGUAGUCCUUUAGAUUAGAUAUAGGUCUUUCCUAUCUAAGUGUAUUUAACCAAUAAAUAUUUAGUGUUUAGUC